rfam:Bombyx mori DNA, contig: Bm_scaf12_contig9615, strain: p50T/Dazao, build 2, whole genome shotgun sequence.
UUAACUCUAAUUUGUAUGGAGUUGCCUACGUUUGCCGCUAGGGGCGCUGUUCCAACUGCAUAAAAAUUUGAGUUA